rnacentral:tRNA from 1 species
GGGAGUGUAGUUUAUUUAGAAUGGUACUUUUGUAAAGUAUUGGUGUAUGUUUACUGUCUUCUUUG